rnacentral:rRNA from 1 species
ACUCCUACGGGAGGCAGCAGUGGGGAAUAUUGCACAAUGGGCGCAAGCCUGAUGCAGCCAUGCCGCGUGUAUGAAGAAGGCCUUCGGGUUGUAAAGUACUUUCAGCGGGGAGGAAGGCAAUACGGUUAAUAACCGUGUUGAUUGACGUUACCCGCAGAAGAAGCACCGGCUAACUCCGUGCCAGCAGCCGCGGUAAUACGGAGGGUGCAAGCGUUAAUCGGAAUUACUGGGCGUAAAGCGCACGCAGGCGGUCUGUCAAGUCGGAUGUGAAAUCCCCGGGCUCAACCUGGGAACUGCAUUCGAAACUGGCAGGCUUGAGUCUUGUAGAGGGGGGUAGAAUUCCAGGUGUAGCGGUGAAAUGCGUAGAGAUCUGGAGGAAUACCGGUGGCGAAGGCGGCCCCCUGGACAAAGACUGACGCUCAGGUGCGAAAGCGUGGGGAGCAAACAGGAUUAGAAACCCGUGUAGUCCCAUG